rnacentral:rRNA from 1 species
AUUGAACGCUGGCGGCAGGCCUAACACAUGCAAGUCGGACGGUAGCACAGAGGAGCUUGCUCCUCGGGUGACGAGUGGCGGACGGGUGAGUAAUGUCUGGGGAUCUGCCCGAUAGAGGGGGAUAACCACUGGAAACGGUGGCUAAUACCGCAUAACGUCGCAAGACCAAAGAGGGGGACCUUCGGGCCUCCCACUAUCGGAUGAACCCAGAUGGGAUUAGCUAGUAGGCGGGGUAACGGCCCACCUAGGCGACGAUCCCUAGCUGGUCUGAGAGGAUGACCAGCCACACUGGAACUGAGACACGGUCCAGACUCCUACGGGAGGCAGCAGUGGGGAAUAUUGCACAAUGGGCGCAAGCCUGAUGCAGCCAUGACGCGUGUAUGAAGAAGGCCUUCGGGUUGUAAAGUACUUUCAGCGGGGAGGAAGGCGAUGUGGUUAAUAACCGCGUCGAUUGACGUUACCCGCAGAAGAAGCACCGGCUAACUCCGUGCCAGCCGCCGCCUAA